rnacentral:rRNA from 1 species
UACGUAGGGUGCGAGCGUUAAUCGGAAUUACUGGGCGUAAAGGGUGCGCAGGCGGCGUCGCAAGUCAGGCGUGAAAUCCCCGGGCUUAACCUGGGAAUGGCACUUGAAAACUACGAUGCUGGAGUAUGGCAGAGGGGAGGUGGAAUUCCACGUGUAGCGGUGAAAUGCGUAGAGAUGUGGAGGAACACCGAUGGCGAAGGCAGCCAUCUGGACCGACACUGACGCUGAGGCGCGAAAGCGUGGGGAGCAAACAGG